CAAGCUUGCUUGUUGGGGUUGUAGGACACUCUAUACGGAGUUACAAAGGACGACAUUAGACGAAUCAUCUGGAAAGAUGAAUCAAAGAAGGUAAUAAUCCUGUAGUCGAAAAUGUUGUCUCUCUUGAGUGGAUCCUGAGUACGACGGAGCACGUGAAAUUCCGUCGGAAUCUGGGAGGACCAUCUCCUAAGGCUAAAUACUCUCUAGUGACCGAUAGUGAACCAGUACCGUGAGGGAAAGGUGAAAAGCACCCCGGAAGGGGAGUGAAAUAGAACCUGAAACCGUGUGCUUACAAGUAGUCAGAGCCCGUUAAUGGGUGAUGGCGUGCCUUUUGUAGAAUGAACCGGCGAGUUACGAUUUGAUGCAAGGUUAAGCAGUAAAUGUGGAGCCGUAGCGAAAGCGAGUCUGAAUAGGGCGUUUAGUAUUUGGUCGUAGACCCGAAACCAGGUGAUCUACCCUUGGUCAGGUUGAAGUUCAGGUAACACUGAAUGGAGGACCGAACCGACUUACGUUGAAAAGUGAGCGGAUGAACUGAGGGUAGCGGAGAAAUUCCAAUCGAACCUGGAGAUAGCUGGUUCUCUCCGAAAUAGCUUUAGGGCUAGCCUCAAGUGAUGAUUAUUGGAGGUAGAGCA
rnacentral:rRNA from 1 species